rnacentral:rRNA from 1 species
GAUCCUGGCUCAGGAUGAACGCUGGCGGCAUGCCUAAGACAUGCAAGUCGAACGAGAUGGCCCAUUGAAGAUUGAGUGCUUGCACGAUUUCCGAUUUGGAUUCUCCAUCUAGUGGCGGACGGGUGAGUAACACGUGGGUGACCUACCUUUGAGUUUGGGACAACUACUGGAAACGGUAGCUAAUACCAAAUAAUAUACAGUUUCGUUUCUGUAUUAAAAGGCGCUUUACAGCGUCGCUCUUAGA